CAGGGUGUCUGCUGAUCUACAGCCAGGCUGAGAGAUGGUUUAUUCAUUUUUCUUUGCUCUUAGGUCAAUAAAUACUUGCAACAGUACACACACAGCAGGUGAAAAGCAGAGUUUAUGCACACAGUGUACUGCUCUCUUCAACAGGAGCAAAAGGAUGACAAACCCUGUUUCAGGAAUGAGCUGUGUCCCUGCUGACCUGUACCUGAGGCAUCUUAAGAGCGACAGAAUGCUGCCGCUCAGAUUUCCUCAAAAGUUUUAAGGUAACCCUGCACACCAUAAUGAAAUAUGCUGCUAAAAGCUCUUUGAGAAUCACCAUCUUGGUGGGUCUUGAUGCAUUCUCAAUCAUCCAGGCAGCUCCACUGUGAACUAUACCUCCACCCUCUUCUCCUCCUGGGCGUGGACAGCAGCGAGGAUGCACAUAAAAGAGAUGGAUGGAGAAAGCAGCAGUGUCCUCAACAGACAAUCUGUCCACCUGCAGCAAGAUCACCAGAGAGCCUCCUGAACAGCAGCCUUCAUCCUCCUCAUCCUCCAUCAGACCUGCAGAAGAAUCGAGAAGUGACUCUUCACCCACAGCACAGUUCCCUGUCGGCUGACUGGCUCC
ensembl:lncRNA